AUGCUCACCGUGAAGAUGUUCGACAACACCAUGUGCCGCAUGUACUACCAGCACGACGACGAUGCCAGCAAUGGGAGCAGUAGCGGGGAUGACGAGGAGCGGAGCGGGGAUGACGAGGAGCAGAGCGGGGAUGACGAGGAGCAGCCUAUUCUAGCUGACGACGACCCUGCUAUGGUGGUGGCGGAUGACGACCUUGCUAUGGUGGUGGCUGACGACGACCCUGCUAUGGUGGUGGCGGACGACGACCUUGCUAUGGUGGCUGACGACGACCUCACGAUUGUGGUGCCUAAUGAUGACCUCGCAAUGGUGGUGCCUGACAAUGACCUCGUGAUGGUGGUGGCGCCUGCAAUCGGAUAG
rnacentral:rRNA from 1 species